rnacentral:lncRNA from 1 species
GGGUACUUUAGUUUCGAAUGUUAAGAUAGAGGGCAUCUGCAAAUUAAAGUGAGAUACCAACGAUGAAAGUACGAGCCCAAUUGUUUGAUGUUAUCCACCGUGCAGGUGUUAUUAGCAUGCUGGGAUUGACUGCUUUUGGUGCAGUUUUGCUAACUGCUAGAACGUACAGGUAUUUCACGCACGUGCGACCCAUGCAGCAAGAACAUAAGAGGCUACUUGCAGAAGAAAUGAUUACUAAAGAACAAAUUGAAAAAGAAGUGGAGUUGCUUAGAAGACAGCGGGAAGCAGAAAAACUUGUUUCUUAAGUAUUUUUAGUAGUUUUUGAAAUGGUUUUCAGCAUCAGGCAUUUGUGCACAUGGAUUUCAGUGAUCAUCUCUGGAAAUAUGCAGUUGCUUCUUAAGAUGGGACAUCUUGUUAGUUUUAUAUGAAAUAUUGUGAAGUGUGAAAACAUUCUGAGACUGAAAUGAUUGGGAAAUGGAAGUUUCUAUGAUGUUGCCAAUAUUGGAGGAGGGGAAGGUUAUUAAAUUUGCAAAUGUUCUUGGAGGGAAAAAAAUCAUUUGUUUUGUACAGCAAGCUAUCAUUGAUUGUUGGGAUAAUUGCGUCGGUCAUAUUAGUAUCAGAAGAACUCUGUGUAUCAUACCACUUAGAACAUACACAUCCCUUAAGUUUGUGUGUGUGUGUGAUUUGAUGUUUUUUGUGCAUGUUUGUUAUGGACUUAUGCAUAGCAGAAAUAAAGUGCCCAGAGUACAGCAUUUUUGUUUAUCAUAAACAUAGCAUAUAGAUAACUUUAAUCAGGUGAAUAUUUUAGUUAGCUUGAUGAAGGACCCUUUUAAUUGGUGUUUCCAUGUCUCCUCAACCUCAAAUAUCAGCACGUGAAGGAAACAAACUGUCUCAUUUAUACCAGAUUAUCAAGUUGCUCUUGUAGUUCUUGUCUUAAGGUGGCACCACACGGGGUUUGGCAAACACUGUUUUCUUAUGAAACAGCCUUGUUUUCCCCGUUUGCCGUCUGGCAUACAGCGCAAAGCGUUUGAUGAACUGGAAGGAAACCUGGUUUUCCUUGUGUUUGCACAUUUAGAACUUGCUCUAUUUUGGAGGGCGGUUUUUCAACAAGGCUGCCAAAGCCACAGCCCGCUUGGAAAUUUAAAUGAGGAAAAUACCUGCUAUUUAAUUGAGCUUUUUCAAAGCCACCAGGAAUUGUGGGAACCUUGGAGAGCACAAUAUCGCAACAGACAAUAAUAUUGAAAAUGGGUCUUUGGCUUUCUUUACAGAUUUCGUUCUCAUCAACGACAGGGACUGAGUGCACAGUUGCCCAUAUCCAAGCAAAGGUAGCCAGCCUCCGAAACACAUUUUCAAGGGAAAUGCAUAAAAUAAAUAAAACUAUAGUAAGUGGGGCUGGAGCAUGUGAUGCCUACAACAGUUCAUGGCCUUUUUUCAGCAGUUGAAAUUCCUGUUGCCAGUAAUGUCUCUAGUGGCACCAACAUCUUAAAACUUGGAAACACAAGUGGUGAAUCACCAACAGCAAGGCGAACACGAUUAUUUCUACUAGUGCCAGACAGAAAAGGAAUUCACUGAAACUCAGUCUGAAGGGGCUAAAGAGGAUGAUCCAGCACUUUCACUCACUUCACGCCCUUGCGGGUGAAGAAGUGACUACUCAGAUGUAGGCAAAAGGCAAGAAAAAAGAGCAUGAAAAGAUCAGGGGGAUGAUCUGACUAAGUAUGCCAAUAGAUCAUUAUAUAAAUAAAAAUAGACCAAAAGUGGACCCUGAACUCAUGUGAGCAAAAAUUCUUACUAAAAAAAAUUUCAGAAUUACCAGAUAUUACACAAAGGAAGCUUAUAAAACUAGAUAUUGACUAGGACCUCUACGCUUAAAGGAAUUCAUGGGGUUUUUUCCUGGGUGCCUAUGCGUCAAUGACCUUGACUGAAAUAAAAACAUUUGCAUUUUA